AACCUUUUAAAAGUGGGAGGAAUAUUACUGUAGCUUAUCUACAGUAAUUGAAACGACGCGUUGCUUUUAAUUACAGUACUACACUAUACUCGUCUCUCUCCUCUCAUUCGUAGUGGCUUCUUUCACCCUCACUAUUCUUUUCUCUCCUGAAAUCCUCCCUCAUUUCCUCCAUCCAUGGGCAAACUACUUUCAUGCAUGGAUUCUCUUCAUUUUAAUGGAAUUAUUAAUUUUCAGGUAAAUUUUCUCUCUAUUUUGCUCUCAAUUGUCAAUUUCUAGGUUUUCUGUUCUUUUUGUUUGAAAUUGCGACCUUUGAUAAUCUAUGGCAGACGGUUUAUACGUGGUUUAAAGUAAAGGAUAUUACUUUCUCUUCCUUUUCAUAGAAUUACCCUGAAUUUCUAUUUUUUGUUCAUGAUUUUUGUGAAAAAUCAAAAUCAAAAUCAGGGUUUAACGAGAGCUAUUUCAAUCGAAAAAACGCCAUUGAUGCUAGCAUGAGCACCUAUCAAUUCCUUGUUUGUUCCUUGUUUUCCUUCUAAUUUCGCUUUUUAUUUUUUAAUUUGGGGUUUUAUUGUCAUGAUAAAGAUAUAUAUUAACUUUGAGUGUUAUUUCUUCAGAUUGACAAUAGCAAUUCGAGGAGAUCGGCGACAAUUCCUAUUCGUGCGAAUGGUAUCAAUACUUGUAUAGAGUUAUCAAGUCCCCUCCCCCUUCUCCUUUGAGAAAUUCUAAGUUUUUUCAGUCAAACAUGAGAAUUUUGGUUAGGGGAGGAGAAGGAUUCAUUGGCUCCCACCUGGUGGAUAGAUUGAUGGAAAAUGAAAAUAUUGAGGUGAGCAUUGUUCCUUUUCAAUUGACAAAUGAUCAAACAAGGAAGAUGAUACGGCAAUCUUAGUGCAUAAUGCAAAUUUCCUAUUCUGUUCUUGUUCCGCUUGGGGGAGAGGGGGAAGUGGCUAAAUUAUUUUCUCGAUGUCUUAACAGGUGAUUGUGUUUUCCCUGUCAACCUUUAAUUGAUUAACAGAUUUGGUAUGUUGCGUGAGAGUAUGAGAUAAGCUGUUUGAAAUGUUGUGCACAAGGCAACUGCUCCAAAAUCAACAUAAGACAUGAACAUGCAUCAUGUGAUUCUUGUCAGAUUCAUUGUAGUUACAUAGUAGAAGUGAUUUAUGUAAUGAGAUCUAAGAAUGUUAUCAUAUUGUGAAUGGCUUAUGGCAAUAUUAUCAUAGUUUGCAGAGAAAAGAAACUAACAGUUGUAGUUGUGCUACCUUGUUUUGAUGUCAUCUUUUUAGUAUAUAAGUUUGUUUGGGCGUGCUUGAAUUUGGUCCAGUAAACAAAAGCAGAGACUACGCCAACCUCCUCUUACUAACGGAAAGCAAAUAACUGAGGUUAGCAACACAGUAUGAUAAUUGUUCAUAUUUUUUUCGUUGGCGAAUAUUUGGUGCUAUACCAAUCUUCUGACAGCUGACACCUCACCUUUCGUCCACCCUUUAGUGACUGAUUGUGCACCUACAUAUGAUCGCUUGUGAUGUUACAGGCUUUCAGCAAUGAUUGUGACCAAGUCAUGCGUGCGUGACUUUGGUUUAGUUUUUCUAGUGGGUUAAUGUUUUCGAUGUGGUGGUAUCCUGCUUGCUGGUGAAAGGUGAUAAUGUGUUGCUUAGUUCUGUUUUCAGAGCCCGUAAGUCGGUAAGUGGGAAUGUCUGUUGUUGCGCGCGUACAUACCAGCAGCAAUAGCAGGGAGUUUAAUUCCUGGUGCAGUUUUAUUGGGGAAGUGCUGUUUUGCCGAAGAAUUUUGGAGGCCUUAGUGUGGGUGUUAUCAUUAAAUGGAACAAAGCUGCUAUGGGAAAACAUGUAUGGGCACUCGCAAUAAAACAGAUGGAUACAUUCUAUCUAUUUACACUCACAGGAAUGGGAGAACUGCAGUCCUCCUGAAGACCGCCGUUUUUAUUGGAAAAGAGUAUGUGAAUUCAAGGAAAUACUCAAGGACAGUUGAAAAAUCCAGUUAAGUUUUCAAUCCAGAUAGCUUAUUAACUGGAAAAUCUGCGGAACAGGUUUAUUACCAUAUAAGGCAUUGUUUAUUACUUUAUUACCUGGGUUGCAACACAGUGGUUGAAAACAAAAGAGAGGUUGGCCAAGAUUGGUUUUGCCAAUCGAAAUAAACACCCCUACAAUGUGAUGGUGGUGGUACUUCUCAUGUCUUUAGUACAAACACGCGUAUAACAUUUCACUAAUUUUAUCGCAAAAUUAAUUUUCCCGGUAAUACCGCGCGCGUUGCGCCCGGUUAAGCCACUAGUAACCACAAAUGUUGGACUAAACAACAUCAACACUGAUGGUGUAAGGUUUAAUGAUGCAUAUGCAAGCAACAAAGUAAUUCCCA